GGGUGCUUAGCUCAGUUGGUAGAGCGCGUCCCUUUUAAGGACGAUGUCGCAGGUUCGAUCCCUGCAGCACCCACCA
rnacentral:tRNA from 2 species